rnacentral:rRNA from 1 species
AUUGAACGCUGGCGGCAUGCCUUACACAUGCAAGUCGAACGGCAGCACGGGAGCAAUCCUGGUGGCGAGUGGCGAACGGGUGAGUAAUACAUCGGAACGUGCCCAAUCGUGGGGGAUAACGCAGCGAAAGCUGUGCUAAUACCGCAUACGAUCUACGGAUGAAAGCAGGGGAUCGCAAGACCUUGCGCGAAUGGAGCGGCCGAUGGCAGAUUAGGUAGUUGGUGAGGUAAAGGCUCACCAAGCCGUCGAUCUGUAGCUGGUCUGAGAGGACGACCAGCCACACUGGGACUGAGACACGGCCCAGACUCCUACGGGAGGCAGCAGUGGGGAAUUUUGGACAAUGGGCGAAAGCCUGAUCCAGCCAUGCCGCGUGCAGGAUGAAGGCCUUCGGGUUGUAAACUGCUUUUGUACGGAACGAAACGGCCUUUUCUAAUAAAGAGGGCUAAUGACGGUACCGUAAGAAUAAGCACCGGCUAACUACGUGCCAGCAGCCGCGGUAAUACGUAGGGUGCAAGCGUUAAUCGGAAUUACUGGGCGUAAAGCGUGCGCAGGCGGUUAUGUAAGACAGUUGUGAAAUCCCCGGGCUCAACCUGGGAACUGCAUCUGUGACUGCAUAGCUAGAGUACGGUAGAGGGGGAUGGAAUUCCGCGUGUAGCAGUGAAAUGCGUAGAUAUGCGGAGGAACACCGAUGGCGAAGGCAAUCCCCUGGACCUGUACUGACGCUCAUGCACGAAAGCAUGGGGAGCAAACAGG